CAGCCGCCGCGGGAAUACCGAGGGUGCGAGCGUUAAUCGGAUUUACUGGGCGUAAAGCGUGCGUAGGCGGCUUCUUAAGUCGGAUGUGAAAUCCCUGAGCUUAACUUAGGAAUUGCAUUCGAUACUGGGAAGCUAGAGUAUGGGAGAGGAUGGUAGAAUUCCAGGUGUAGCGGUGAAAUGCGUAGAGAUCUGGAGGAAUACCGAUGGCGAAGGCAGCCAUCUGGCCUAAUACUGACGCUGAGGUACGAAAGCAUGGGGAGCAAACAGGAUUAGAUACCCGUGUAGUCCCUGUCUCUUAUAC
rnacentral:rRNA from 1 species